UGGGGAAUAUUGCACAAUGGGCGCAAGCCUGAUGCAGCGACGCCGCGUGAGGGAUGACGGCCUUCGGGUUGUAAACCUCUUUCAAUAGGGACGAAGCGCAAGUGACGGUACCUAUAGAAGAAGGACCGGCCAACUACGUGCCAGCAGCCGCGGUAAUACGUAGGGUCCGAGCGUUGUCCGGAAUUACUGGGCGUAAAGAGCUCGUAGGUGGUUUGUCGCGUUGUUCGUGAAAACUCACAGCUUAACUGUGGGCGUGCGGGCGAUACGGGCAGACUAGAGUACUGCAGGGGAGACUGGAAUUCCUGGUGUAGCGGUGGAAUGCGCAGAUAUCAGGAGGAACACCGGUGGCGAAGGCGGGUCUCUGGGCAGUAACUGACGCUGAGGAGCGAAAGCGUGGGGAGCGAACAGGAUUAGAUACCCUGGUAGUCCACGCCGUAAACGGUGGGUACUAGGUGUGGGUUUCCUUCCUUGGGAUCCGUGCCGUAGCUAACGCAUUAAGUACCCCGCCUGGGGAGUACGGCCGCAAGGCUAAAACUCAAAGGAAUUGACGGGGUCAUAGCUGUUUUCCU
rnacentral:rRNA from 1 species